UGAGACGUCAACUUCCUUUUAGUCAGAACAGCUCUGCUUUUGCGUCAGCAAAAAAAUAACGCUUUUUAAAAGACUUAAGAGAUUGUCAUGAGUCACCAUUUCUGAGGCAUAUAGCCACGCCUGUGACCUGCGGCAAGGGUGCAGCUGGAGGUGCCACCCCUGGUGACAGGGUCCUUAGGGUUGGGGUGAGCAGAGAGGGUGGGGACUGCUCUGGGCUCUGCAGGGUGGGCAGGGAGCUGGGCAGGCCCUGAGAGACGCGCCCUUAGCUGGUUCCUGGUUCCGGGCCCCAGGGCAGGACGGGGAGCCAGGUGUGCGGAGGCAGAUACACGUGUCCUUGUGAGCAAUAUGUUGGCUUUUUCACAUCCAAGAGUUCCUCCCUUGACCUCCGAACUACCACCGGCAUUCUCCGCGGACAGUAGGACCCAGAUCUCUCAGAAGCGUGUUUCCCACCUGCUGCAUAGCCAGUCCGCAGCAUUGAAGUUCCAUUCAUAGUCCAUACAGUGUCACUGCUGAUAGAUGUUAGGUCAUUUCAACUUCCCCUCUUGCAAAUAGCACCUCAGUGAACAUCCUUGAGCUGAUAUCUUUGUGCCCAGUGUGUAGGUUUCUCUGGAAUUGAUUCAGCAAGUAGAAUUGCUGGGUCAAUUAAUAAUACUUGGUAAUGAAUUAGUAUUCUAAUUUCCUCUGGUGGGUCAUUGUCCUUCUAAUUCUUUAGCAAUUCUUUUGCACAGCAAAACGGUCCCUCCAAUCGUUAGAGGAUUGCUAAACAAGGCUUAGGGAGUUCGGAGAGUUUGGGGGUGUGGCAAGGGGCUGAGGAGACGAGUUAAUUAAUUAAUGAUGUCUCUCUUCUUUGAAGCUGGUCUCGCUGAUCAGUUUUCCUCGUGUUCUGACGUGGAGGCAGGGGGCUGGUUUACUGGCCCAUCUCCCAAACUUUUGUGGGAACUGCUAACACCCAGGGAAUUGAUUGCUGGGGGGAGGAGGGGCCGUAAUAUCACUCUCUCCUAUGUGAGCACAAAAUUUUAGCCCUGCUAACGCUGCGUGGCCGUGGUUGGCUAUUCUAAGCCUCAGUUUCCCCAGCCUCUGGCAGAUCUAGGGCUCUCGAGGCAGACUGGCUGCGCUGGCAGGAAGGGACAGCGUUAUAAUAAAGCGCCCUUGUGAUAACAGUGCAAGCUCUCCCUCUUGGGAGGCUUUUUGAGCCUCAGUUUCCUCCUCUGUAUAAAGAAACCAAACAGCCCCUAUCUUUAGAGCUUUACAGAAGACGAUGAAGGCAAAGCUCUUCACACAGUGCCUGGCACGAAGUAAGAACGCAAUAAAUCAUCACGUUUGUUAUUAUUAUCGAAAUACCACGCAGAUAUUAGGGCUCAGAGAGGGCUCGAGACUCA
ensembl:lncRNA